rnacentral:lncRNA from 1 species
CAGAGCUGUUCCUGUGGAAGCCUCAUGUCCUGCACGUGUGCUCCAGAGGCAGAGGGAGACCAACCGGAGCCCCCUCCCUUUCUCAUUCCCACCUGUCAUUCCCAGCUGUGAAGACAGCAGAAACCGAACUCUGUGAGCUAGGCCAAUACCACAACUGAGAGGAAUAUUGUUCUACAUCUCAUUAUGCAUCUUUCAAACAUGUGUCUCUAUAUACUUCUUACAGAGGUGGUGAUAAUCUGUGUAUGCCUUACUGAAUUUUCACAAUUAUAUUACUGUACUUCCUUUGUCCCCU